ensembl:lncRNA
GCCAAUCAAAUUCGAGGUGAAAGUAGCAAGGAAGUGGGGAGAGAGGAGUGAAGAGAAAAAACGUGGGGAAGGGAGAGAGGAACUGGUGCGUUUAAGAUGCACAAGUUUAGUGAGUGUUAAACCAGUACUCUUGAACGAAACAUAAAUGGUGAUCGUUCUGUCGGUUUGAGUGGACUGCUCAGCACAGGAGGACAGAGAAAAGUUUAAGUUAGCCGCUGACUAAGUGACUAGUGUUUUUGCAUGGACUUUGCUAAUACGCUAGCGGAUCGCUCCCUGGCCUAGCUAAGCCUGUGUGGAACUGUGAGACCGACGGCGGACAAAGACCCAGACGGCGCCGGAUAGCGUUACCGAGUGGUGGACUUUGCCGAGAUCGUCAGCGGUGCGUCCUAUGAAGCCGUGGGUCUUGCAUGUCUUCAUAACAGCUGUCUGGAUAUGCAGACAUCUGAAGGGGGAACAAGUGGCUUUAUACAUUUGCGUUUGUUCGUACGGAUUCAGCAGACCUUUGAGGUCCGACCUGCCAGUGCCGAUACUGAGAGCAGCUUGAUACAGGUGUAGUUUCGGAGUUAUUACGGCUGCCCGGGGGUCCCCCUGCAAAACACGCAGCACAGCUCCAUGUCAAACUCUUCCUGCACACUGAACCAACAACACAGCACUGCUACUGUCCUGAGCAAGACAUUUUUUUGCCUGCAGUCUAGCACGAAAACAUGUCUGAGAGAAUAUGGUUUUAGUUCUGAUAACCGACAAAUAUUUCUCAAGUGAAGCCUCUAGUUAUUUUUCAUUCCACGUACAGCAUUGUACUGAUAUUCUUUGCCUUAGUUUGUUUGGGUUUGUUUAAUAGCAAUGAUGUCCAAACUGUAAAUCUUUUUCCUGUUGUUUAGUUUGAUUUGCUUAUACAGACUUGCUUUCCUUUUUCUGAUAUGAACUGUAGAAAUGUGUUUCUCAAAGAGAAUGUUUAAACAAUGCCAACAAUGUGAAUUUUCUCGAUACUCUUGGUUAACACGUUAUGCGUUCAGAAGACAGCAGAGCAAAGUUGACAGAUCAAACUACUAUUCCCCAUGAAAUUCCAGCCCAUUAAAUUAAUGAAAAUCUAAAAACACAUGUAUGGAUUUGAUCAUAACAGAUCACUUUUAUCUAAACAUUUCAUGCCCAAGAAGGGAGACACCAGAGGAAGUAAGACACCAAAGAAAAGUGUUGUUUGAACUACAGAAGUCCUGCAACCUUGUAAGCUUAAUCAAGUGUGCCUGUUGAAGUCAAGGACAUGCAGGAUAGCAAAGAGCUAUUUGUGUUUUGUAUUAGCUCACACGCUACUUUCUACUGAAAGUUUCGAUCCAGAACUUUUUGAAAAUGCUUAGUUAUUUUUUCGACAGAGGAGCAAUGGAUAGCUGAUUUGCAAGAGUUGUUGUUCAUGUGUGUCAUCCUAAUGAAAAAGCAGAUUAUAUUUGUCGUGCUUCCUUUUGGUUGUAAAAUACUUACCCUACCCUAACACUAAACCGGCAAAUGGUCAAUUAAUCCAUACUGUAAACAUAAAGAAAACAGAUGUAUUUAGCCAUAGUGGACAUUCAUAUUGUUUAUGGUGCUGCUAUUUUAAUGUGGUCAGGUGGGUGUAGUGUAACUCUCAACUUCACUGGCUUAUCCUUGAUGAUCGCCCAGUUGGUGUCAAUUUGGAAAUCUCACCUACUUGACUAGAUUAAAAUGGCGGAUGCCUUCUGCGGCGAAGUCCAUGCUCUCAUAGACAGAAUAAUAUUUUCAUUCGUUAGUCCUUCGCAUCAGACACUUUACUGUUUUUGUGAAAUAGCGCCUCCCUUAACACGCGAGGAAUAAUGGAAAACAGUUCAUAUUAAGGCAAUAGAACGAAUAGAAAAUAUGAAUGGUUUUGAUGGACGCUAAUUUAUUUAGACAAAUUACCUAGUGCGUGAGUAUAUAGAGGUAAAUGUAUUUCAAUGCAAUUGGUCAAAUGAGGAUAAAAAAAAUCAAAGUAAAACAAUAAAUAAUUAACUAAAAGUGUUCAAAAUUAACUGUUCACGAGUCUGGAACCCUGCAUCUUAAUGGUACUGUCUUUGAUGGAUAUGUGCUACCUCGUCAAGAAGAACAUUGGUUUCUUCAGCUCUGAAUGCUUGUUUUCUCUUGCUUUACAUUUUUGCUCAAAAAUAAUUUGAAUGGAUCUUUCCCACUAUGCUUUAUACUCACAGUUAACCAUGUGUUGAUUGCUAUGUGACUUAAGUAACAUCCAUAUAGCCACCCGAGGAACUGUUGGAUGUCAUGUGAUCGAUUUCCGGAGAUAUGAUUUUGAUUGACUGAAGUCCACCCCUUUGGAUAUGUUUCCUCCAAAUUGAAUGUCACUACUUCUUCAAGUUUUACAUUUUCCUAUUGAUGCCUAAGUAGAAUACAUCACCUGCGAUAUUAUAUGGUUCUGAUUACAGAACCAUAUGAUAAUCUGUAUCGAAAUGCAGUAGCGCAGGCUAUGUUUCAAAUUGUUUUCACGGCCUAAUUCAAUUUCAAACCCCAAAAUUGGUGUAAUUCCAUUAGAAACGGCCGUGGAGUAGCACUUACCAUGCACUUUGUAAAGAGCGGAUGAGCGUGGUGGUUUCAGAAACGGGCGUAAAUCGUUCGUAACAAAAUCCACAUAAGGCUACGCGCAUGGUUAAACCGUCGUAAGUGCCACGUGAUCUGGAAACCGAGGCUAGAUCUAACAACUAAUGUUAUGUGUUGCUAAUAGUGGUUUGGCGAUGUAAUGGGUAAUACCAUGCUUUUGCUGCUGAAUGUGAUCAAUUGAAUGUGAUCAAAUGAUUAAUUAUUUUUUAUUUGAAAUUGUUUUGUUUCUUUUACAUUCAGUGGGCAGUUAUUUCUCUUAUGUUUGGCUUUUCUCCAGCUUUAACAUCCUCCCUAGAUGCCUGCACUCUAUACAAAAACACUAUACAGAAACACCAGAAAUUCUCAAAUUUCACAGACCUUCAGCAUUUUUUUUUAUGCACUGAAAAUAUAAAUUUCAUACUGAAAGUCAAAGCAGUAUGUUAAACCAGAAACCUAUGAGUUUUGUUCUUAGUUGUUCUUUGUUCUUAGUUGACAGCCUCAUUUAUCUAUUUCAAUAGUAGUCCUAGCCUGCUUAUACAUUACAGCAUGUGUUGUAUGACUGUGAAAGACCAAUAACCCCAUGGGAUGUAUCAUUUUAUAGGGUAUUCAGAGUAGCAGCCUAUAUGUCACUAUUUGUUCCUCAGACAUUUUUUCAUACAGGGUAGUUUUUGGCAGGCUGUUUGUGAAAUGUUGACAUUUUCUUUCUUUUUCUAUUGUUUUCACUUUCAAUAAAACCA